rnacentral:rRNA from 1 species
CGUCUAUAUACGUAUAGCAUAUCAAUAAGCGGAGGAAAAGAAACUAACAAGGAUUCCCUUAGUAACGGCGAGUGAAGCGGGAAGAGCUCAAAUUUGAAAUCUUCAAGGUUUUACCUUGACGAAUUGUAGUUUAAAGAAGUGUUUUCUGUUGAAGUUUUGGUAAAAGUUCUUUGGAAUAGGACAUCAUAGAGGGUGAGAAUCCCGUAUUUGACCAUUAUUUUCAGCUGUGUGAUACACUUUCAAAGAGUCGGAUUGUUUGGGAAUGCAGUCCAAAAUGGGUGGCUAAAUUUCAUCUAAAGCUAAAUAUUGGCGAGAGACCGAUAGCGAACAAGUACCGUGAGGGAAAGAUGAAAAGAACUUUGAAAAGAGAGUUAAACAGUACGUGAAAUUGUCGAAAGGGAAGCGUUUGACACCAGUGUUGUUUUCUCGAAAAUCAAUUAAAAAGAGUUGGAUUUUGUGUUGUAUUGACCUUAACAGCUUGCUUCACUUUUUUCCUGCUUUUUUUAAUGCACUUUUCGUUUAACAAGUCAACAUCAGUUUCUUUUGUUGUAAAAGGGUCAUUGGAAGGUGGCUUUCUUUUCGGAGAAAGUGUUUAUAGCCUUUGGCCUCUGCAAUCGGAGAGACUGAGGUCUGCAGCGUAGAUCCUUCGGGGUUAGAUACAUUUGUGCUAAGUUAUAGCUUUUCAUAGACAACUUGUUGACUAUGUUUAGUCAUGUAGCUUACUCGCUUAUGCUAUUUUACCUACGCUUAGGAUGUUGACGCGCGUGUGUGCGUG